UACGUAGGGUGCAAGCGUUGUCCGGAAUUACUGGGCGUAAAGGGCGCGUAGGCGGCCUUUCUAAGUCGAACGUGAAAUCCCCGGGCUCAACCCGGGAACUGCGUCCGAUACUGGAAGGCUUGAAUCCGGGAGAGGGAUGUGGAAUUCCAGGUGUAGCGGUGAAAUGCGUAGAUAUCUGGAGGAACACCGGGUGGCGAAGGCGACAUCCUGGACCGGUAUUGACGCUGAGGCGCGAAAGCCAGGGGGAGCAAACGGGG
rnacentral:rRNA from 1 species